rnacentral:rRNA from 1 species
UUUUUUAAUUGGGGGCUGGAAUGAAAGGUAGAUACUAAAGAGAAUGUUUUAUUUAAUUAAUUUUGAAUUUAAAUUAAAAGUAAAAAUGCUUUUAUUAGUCUCUGGGACGAGAAGACCCUAGAAGCUUGAGAUUUUUAUGAAAUUUUUGAUUGGGGCAAUGACUGAAGAGAUAAAUUUUUAGUUAUUUAAGAAAAGGGUUAUAAGUUACUCUAGGGAUAACAGCGUUAUUUAACUGGCAAGUUCUUAUUAAUAGUUAAGUUUGCGACCUCGAUGUUGAAUUAAAAUUAAUUUUAGGCGAAGGAGUUUAAAGUAUUUAGUCUGUUCGACUAUUAAAAUUUUACGUGAUCUGAGUUCAGACCGGA